GUGCGGGAGAGUAGGUUAUUGCCAGGGUUUUUAUUUUAUACUUUAAACCUUGAAUUUAUUUUUUAAAUGUCUAUACUAUUCGAAUAAAACAUUCAAAUAAUAUAAAAAAUAAUAUAUAUAUUGACAUGGAUUAAACAAAGAUAUAUAUUAUUCUAUGUUGUAUAAACAACAUUGGCAAAAUAGAGAUGGACUGAUAAAAAUAUGGUCAAAGUAAUAAGAGUCUAUGGUGAAUGCCUAGA
rnacentral:misc_RNA from 1 species